AUUGAACGCUGGCGGCAUGCCUUACACAUGCCAGUCGAACGGCGGCACGGGUGCUUGCCCCUGGUGGCGAGUGGCGAACGGGUGAGUAAUACAUCGGAACAUGUCCUGUAGUGGGGGAUAGCCCGGCGAAAGCCGGAUUAAUACCGCAUACGAUCUACGGAUGAAAGCGGGGGACCUUCGGGCCUCGCGCUAUAGGGUUGGCCGAUGGCUGAUUAGCUAGUUGGUGGGGUAAAGGCCUACCAAGGCGACGAUCAGUAGCUGGUCUGAGAGGACGACCAGCCACACUGGGACUGAGACACGGCCCAGACUCCUACGGGAGGCAGCAGUGGGGAAUUUUGGACAAUGGGCGAAAGCCUGAUCCAGCAAUGCCGCGUGUGUGAAGAAGGCCUUCGGGUUGUAAAGCACUUUUGUCCGGAAAGAAAUCCUUGGCCCUAAUACGGUCGGGGGAUGACGGUACCGGAAGAAUAAGCACCGGCUAACUACGUG
rnacentral:rRNA from 1 species